rnacentral:rRNA from 1 species
GUCUUAUUGAUUAUAAUUUUAAGUCUGGCCUGCCCCCUGAAUUUUAAAGGGCCGCGGUACUUUGACCGUGCAAAGGUAGCAUAAUCAUUAGUUUCUUAAUUAGGAACUGGAAUGAAGGGUUGUAUGAGAAAAUAGCUGUCUCUAUUAUAUAGGUUGAAUUUUAUUUUUAGGUUAAAAAGCUUAAAUAUAAUUAAAAGACGAGAAGACCCUAUAGAGUUUAAUUUUUUAUGAAAAUUAAUUUUUUUAGUAUUAAUAUAUGAAUUUCAUAAAAAAUUUGAUUGGGGUGAUUAAAAAAUUAAAUAAACUUUUUUUUGUGUAUUUCAUUGUUUUAUGUUUAAUUGAUCCAAAAGUUUUGAUUAUAAGAUUAAAUUACCUUAGGGAUAACAGCGUUAUUUUUUUAGAAAGUUCAUAUUGAUAAAAAAGUUUGCGACCUCGAUGUUGGAUUAAAAUUAAUUAUUGGUGUAGGAGCUAAUUAGUUUAAGUCUGUUCGACUUUUAAAAUUUUACA